rnacentral:rRNA from 1 species
UGAACGCUAGCUACAGGCUUAACACAUGCAAGUCGAGGGGCAUCAGGAAGAAAGCUUGCUUUCUUUGCUGGCGACCGGCGCACGGGUGAGUAACACGUAUCCAACCUGCCCUUUACUCGGGGAUAGCCUUUCGAAAGAAAGAUUAAUACCCGAUAGCAUAAUGAUUCCGCAUGGUUUCAUUAUUAAAGGAUUCCGGUAAAGGAUGGGGAUGCGUUCCAUUAGGUUGUUGGUGAGGUAACGGCCCACCAAGCCUUCGAUGGAUAGGGGUUCUGAGAGGAAGGUCCCCCACAUUGGAACUGAGACACGGUCCAAACUCCUACGGGAGGCAGCAGUGAGGAAUAUUGGUCAAUGGGCGCUAGCCUGAACCAGCCAAGUAGCGUGAAGGAUGAAGGCUCUAUGGGUCGUAAACUUCUUUUAUAUAAGAAUAAAGUGCAGUAUGUAUACUGUUUUGUAUGUAUUAUAUGAAUAAGGAUCGGCUAACUCCGUGCCAGCAGCCGCGGUAAUACGGAGGAUCCGAGCGUUAUCCGGAUUUAUUGGGUUUAAAGGGAGCGUAGGUGGACUGGUAAGUCAGUUGUGAAAGUUUGCGGCUCAACCGUAAAAUUGCAGUUGAUACUGUCAGUCUUGAGUACAGUAGAGGUGGGCGGAAUUCGUGGUGUAGCGGUGAAAUGCUUAGAUAUCACGAAGAACUCCGAUUGCGAAGGCAGCUCACUGGACUGCAACUGACACUGAUGCUCGAAAGUGUGGGUAUCAAACAGGAUUAGAUACCCUGGUAGUCCACACAGUAAACGAUGAAUACUCGCUGUUUGCGAUAUACAGUAAGCGGCCAAGCGAAAAAGCAUUAAAUAUUCCACCUGGGGAGUAGGCCGGCAGCGGGGAAACUCAAAGGAAGUGACGGGGGGCCCGCACAAGCGGAGGAACAUGUGGUUUAAUUCGAUGAUACGCGAGGAACCUUACCCGGGCUUAAAUUGCAGUGGAAUGAUGUGGAAACACGUCAGUGAGCAAUCACCGCUGUGAAGGUGCGGCAUGGUUGUCGUCAGCUCGUGCGGUGAGGUGUCGGCUUAAGUGCCAUAACGAGCGCAACCCUUAUCUUUAGUUACCAACAGGUUAUGCUGAGGACUCUAGAGAGACUGCCGUCGUAAGAGGUGAGGAAGGUGGGGAUGUCGUCAAAUCAGCACGGCCCUUACGUCCGGGGAUACACACGUGUUACAAUGGGGGGUACAGAAGGCAGGUAGCGGGUGACCGUAUGAUAAUCCCAAAAUCCUCUCUCAGUUCGGAUCGAAGUCUGCAACCCGACUUCGUGAAGCUGGAUUCGGUAGUAAUCGCGCAUCAGCCACGGCGCGGUGAAUACGUUCCCGGUCCUUGUACACACCGCCCGUCAAGCCAUGGGAGCCGGGGGUACGUGAAGUACGUAACCGCAAGGAUCGUCCUAGGGUAAAACUGGUGACUG